GGCUGUGUGGGACGUGGCCGCGGUGGCCUCCUCACAGAAUCUCUCUUGUGUGUCAGAGAUGGAACCUCCCCAGCAAUCUGACUUCCAGACUCAGAUUCCAAGGAGUCUUGUGCUGGACUGCUCCGCUGCCGCCUGCCGGAGGUUCCGCUGUGACGUGCCCU